rnacentral:rRNA from 1 species
GAUGAACGCUGGCGGCGUGCCUAAUACAUGCAAGUCGAGCGAACAGACGAGGAGCUUGCUCCUCUGACGUUAGCGGCGGACGGGUGAGUAACACGUGGAUAACCUACCUAUAAGACUGGGAUAACUUCGGGAAACUGGAGCUAAUACCGGAUAAUAUAUUGAACCGCAUGGUUCAAUAGUGAAAGACGGUUUUGCUGUCACUUAUAGAUGGAUCCGCGCCGCAUUAGCUAGUUGGUAAGGUAACGGCUUACCAAGGCAACGAUGCGUAGCCGACCUGAGAGGGUGAUCGGCCACACUGGAACUGAGACACGGUCCAGACUCCUACGGGAGGCAGCAGUAGGGAAUCUUCCGCAAUGGGCGAAAGCCUGACGGAGCAACGCCGCGUGAGUGAUGAAGGUCUUCGGAUCGUAAAACUCUGUUAUUAGGGAAGAACAAAUGUGUAAGUAACUAUGCACGUCUUGACGGUACCUAAGCAGAAAGCCACGGCUAACUACGU